rnacentral:rRNA from 2 species
UGCAGUCGAGCGGAUGAAGGGAGCUUGCUCCUGGAUUCAGCGGCGGACGGGUGAGUAAUGCCUAGGAAUCUGCCUGGUAGUGGGGGAUAACGUCCGGAAACGGGCGCUAAUACCGCAUACGUCCUGAGGGAGAAAGUGGGGGAUCUUCGGACCUCACGCUAUCAGAUGAGCCUAGGUCGGAUUAGCUAGUUGGUGGGGUAAAGGCCUACCAAGGCGACGAUCCGUAACUGGUCUGAGAGGAUGAUCAGUCACACUGGAACUGAGACACGGUCCAGACUCCUACGGGAGGCAGCAGUGGGGAAUAUUGGACAAUGGGCGAAAGCCUGAUCCAGCCAUGCCGCGUGUGUGAAGAAGGUCUUCGGAUUGUAAAGCACUUUAAGUUGGGAGGAAGGGCAGUAAGUUAAUACCUUGCUGUUUUGACGUUACCAACAGAAUAAGCACCGGCUAACUUCGUGCCAGCAGCCGCGGUAAUACGAAGGGUGCAAGCGUUAAUCGGAUUUACUGGGCGUAAAGCGCGCGUAGGUGGUUCAGCAAGUUGGAUGUGAAAUCCCCGGGCUCAACCUGGGAACUGCAUCCAAAACUACUGAGCUAGAGUACGGUAGAGGGUGGUGGAAUUUCCUGUGUAGC